rnacentral:rRNA from 1 species
CGACCGGCGCACGGGUGAGUACACGUAUCCAACCUUCCGGUAACUCCGGUACAGCCUUUCGAAAGAAAGAUUAAUCCCGGAUAGUAUGGUGAUUCCGCAUGGUUUCUCCAUUAAAGGAUUCCGGUUACCGAUGGGGAUGCGUUCCAUUAGGCAGUUGGCGGGGUAACGGCCCACCAAACCUACGAUGGAUAGGGGUUCUGAGAGGAAGGUCCCCCACAUUGGAACUGAGACACGGUCCAAACUCCUACGGGAGGCAGCAGUGAGGAAUAUUGGUCAAUGGGCGGAAGCCUGAACCAGCCAAGUAGCGUGAAGGAUGACUGCCCUAUGGGUUGUAAACUUCUUUUAUAAGGGAAUAAUUGCGGGUACGCGUACCCGUUUGCAUGUACCUUAUGAAUAAGGAUCGGCUAACUCCGUGCCAGCAGCCGCGGUAAUACGGAGGAUCCGAGCGUUAUCCGGAUUUAUUGGGUUUAAAGGGAGCGUAGGCGGGCGCUUAAGUCAGCUGUGAAAGUUUGGGGCUCAACCUUAAAAUUGCAGUUGAUACUGGGUGCCUUGAGUGCAGUAU